rnacentral:tRNA from 1 species
AGGAUUUUAGUUUAUUUAAAACAUUUGAUUUGCAAUCAUAAAAUAUUGAUUUAUCAAUAUAUCUUA